AUAUCUCUCUGUACGGGAAGGAUGAGAAGCUUCGACCAAGGUUCGAUUCGAGCGUCAGCGAGAAAGCGUUGCCGCAGGCAACGACCCGAAGGGCGAAGCGCGCAGCGC
rnacentral:sRNA from 1 species